rnacentral:rRNA from 1 species
GCUGGCGGCGUGCUUAACACAUGCAAGUCGAACGAAGCACUUGACCUGUAAUUCUUCGGAAGGAAGCUCAAGUGACUGAGUGGCGGACGGGUGAGUAACGCGUGGGUAACCUGCCUCAUACAGGGGGAUAACAGUUAGAAAUGACUGCUAAUACCGCAUAAGCACACGUGAUCGCAUGAUCGAGUGUGAAAAACUCCGGUGGUAUGAGAUGGACCCGCGUCUGAUUAGCUGGUUGGUGGGGUAACGGCCCACCAAGGCGACGAUCAGUAGCCGGCCUGAGAGGGUGAACGGCCACAUUGGGACUGAGACACGGCCCAAACUCCUACGGGAGGCAGCAGUGGGGAAUAUUGCACAAUGGGGGAAACCUUGAUGCAGCGACGCCGCGUGAAGGAUGAAGUAUUUCGGUAUGUAAACUUCUAUCAGCAGGGAAGAAAAUGACGGUACCUGACUAAGAAGCCCCGGCUAACUACGUGCCAGCAGCCGCGGUAAUACGUAGGGGGCAAGCGUUAUCCGGAUUUACUGGGUGUAAAGGGAGCGUAGACGGCGCUGCAAGUCUGAAGUGAAAGCCCGGGGCUCAACCCCGGGACUGCUUUGGAAACUGUAAUGCUAGAGUGCUGGAGAGGUAAGUGGAAUUCCUAGUGUAGCGGUGAAAUGCGUAGAUAUUAGGAGGAACACCAGUGGCGAAGGCGGCUUACUGGACAGUAACUGACGUUGAGGCUCGAAAGCGUGGGGAGCAAACAGGAUUAGAUACCCUGGUAGUCCACGCCGUAAACAAUGAAUGCUAGGUGUUGGGGAGCAAAGUUUUUCGGGGCUGUAGCAAACGCAAUAAGCAUUACCGCUGGGGGAGUCCGUUUGCAAGAAUGAAAGUCAAAGGAAUUGACGGGGGCCCGCACAAGCGGUGGGGCAUGUGGUUUAAUUUGAAGCAACGUGAAGAACCUUGCCAAGUCCUGACCUCGGUUUGACCGGCGAGUAACGGGGCGUUGUCUUCGGAGCAGGAGCGACAGGUGGUGGCAUGGUUGUCGUCAGCUCGUGUCGUGAGAUGUUGGGUUAAGUUCCGCAACGAGCGCAACCGUUAUCCUUAGUAGCCAGCAGUAAGAUGGGCACUCUAGGGAGACUUCCAGGGAUAACCUGGAGGAAGGGGGGGAGGACGUCAAAUCAUCAUGCCCCUUAUGAUUUGGGGUACACACGUGCUACAAUGGUGUAAACAAAGGGAAGAGAAGCCGCGAGCUGAAGCAAAUCCCAAAAAUAACGUCCCAGUUCGGAUUGUAGGGUGCAACUCUCCUCCACGAAGCUGGAAUCGGUAGUAAUCGCGAAUCAGAAUGUCGCGGGGAAUACGUUCCCGGGUCUUGUACACACCGCCCGUCACCCCACGGGAGUCGAUAACGCCCGGAAGUCAGUGACCCAACCACAAGGAGGGAGCUGCCGA